GACGAACGCUGGCGGCGUGCCUAACACAUGCAAGUCGAGCGGGAACCUCAGGAGGGGUAACCCUCCUGAGGGGAGAGCGGCGAACGGGUGAGUAACACGUGGGCAACCUGCCCCGGACACCGGGAUAACCCAGGGAAACCUGAGCUAAUACCGGAUACUCCGGCGAGAUCGCAUGGUCGCGCCGGGAAAGCUCCGACGGUCCGGGAUGGGCCCGCGGCCUAUCAGCUUGUUGGUGGGGUAACGGCCCACCAAGGCGACGACGGGUAGCUGGUCGGAGAGGACGGCCAGCCACACUGGGACUGAGACACGGCCCAGACUCCUACGGGAGGUAGCAGUGGGGGAUCUUGCGCCAAUGCGCGAAGGCGUGACGCAGCGACGCCGCGUGGGGGAUGAAGGCCCUCGGGUUGUAAACCCCUUUCGGCAGGGACGAAGCGAAAGUGACGGUACCUGCAGAAGAAGUCCCGGCUAACUACGUGCCAGCCGCCGCAGUAACAC
rnacentral:rRNA from 1 species